UCGUACAAAAAUGUGAGGGGCAUGCGAGGGCUGUCGCUGACUCAAAGUCGUGCACGCCCGGGUGUGUCCCCUCACAUAAUAAUCCAUCUCACCCUUUGUGCAUCACCGCGUGGGCACCCUUUGGGAUCAUCUCGGAGGGGGCUCGCGUUUUCACACAAACCCCCCUUUUAAAAAGUGUAGAAUGUCCUCAUUUAUGCGCUAACCCGCAAUCAAUAC
rnacentral:misc_RNA from 1 species